rnacentral:rRNA from 1 species
GCGGCGUGCCUAAUACAUGCAAGUAGAACGCUGAAGAGAGGAGCUUGCUCUUCUUGGAUGAGUUGCGAACGGGUGAGUAACGCGUAGGUAACCUGCCUUGUAGCGGGGGAUAACUAUUGGAAACGAUAGCUAAUACCGCAUAACAAUAGGUGACACAUGUCAUUUAUUUGAAAGGGGCAAUUGCUCCACUACAAGAUGGACCUGCGUUGUAUUAGCUAGUAGGUGAGGUAACGGCUCACCUAGGCGACGAUACAUAGCCGACCUGAGAGGGUGAUCGGCCACACUGGGACUGAGACACGGCCCAGACUCCUACGGGAGGCAGCAGUAGGGAAUCUUCGGCAAUGGGGGCAACCCUGACCGAGCAACGCCGCGUGAGUGAAGAAGGUUUUCGGAUCGUAAAGCUCUGUUGUAAGUCAAGAACGAGUGUGAGAGUGGAAAGUUCACACUGUGACGGUAGCUUACCAGAAAGGGACGGCUAACUACGUGCCAGCAGCCGCGGUAAUACGUAGGUCCCGAGCGUUGUCCGGAUUUAUUGGGCGUAAAGCGAGCGCAGGCGGUUUGAUAAGUCUGAAGUUAAAGGCUGUGGCUCAACCAUAGUUCGCUUUGGAAACUGUCAAACUUGAGUGCAGAAGGGGAGAGUGGAAUUCCAUGUGUAGCGGUGAAAUGCGUAGAUAUAUGGAGGAACACCGGUGGCGAAAGCGGCUCUCUGGUCUGUAACUGACGCUGAGGCUCGAAAGCGUGGGGAGCGAACAGGAUUAGAUACCCUGGUAGUCCACGCCGUAAACGAUGAGUGCUAGGUGUUGGAUCCUUUCCGGGAUUCAGUGCCGCAGCUAACGCAUUAAGCACUCCGCCUGGGGAGUACGACCGCAAGGUUGAAACUCAAAGGAAUUGACGGGGGCCCGCACAAGCGGUGGAGCAUGUGGUUUAAUUCGAAGCAACGCGAAGAACCUUACCAGGUCUUGACAUCCCGAUGCUAUUUCUAGAGAUAGAAAGUUACUUCGGUACAUCGGUGACAGGUGGUGCACGGUUGUCGUCAGCUCGUGUCGUGAGAUGUUGGGUUAAGUCCCGCAACGAGCGCAACCCCUACUGUUAGUUGCCAUCAUUCAGUUGGGCACUCUAGCGAGACUGCCGGUAAUAAACCGGAGGAAGGUGGGGAUGACGUCAAAUCAUCAUGCCCCUUAUGACCUGGGCUACACACGUGCUACAAUGGUUGGUACAACGAGUUGCGAGUCGGUGACGGCAAGCUAAUCUCUUAAAGCCAAUCUCAGUUCGGAUUGUAGGCUGCAACUCGCCUACAUGAAGUCGGAAUCGCUAGUAAUCGCGGAUCAGCACGCCGCGGUGAAUACGUUCCCGGGCCUUGCACACACCGCCCGUC